CGAAACGCUGGCAGGGCUGCUGUUUGCUCCCACCUGUUAGCAACCUCAGGGCAGUGCCCAACAGGGAGCAAAAAGCACCUGCGCAGUAAGCGGCAACAUGCUGCUUUUCUGCUGGUUUGGCUCACCAGACAGAGGGCCACAGAGGAGGGAUGAAAGGAAGCAGUGGGGGGCACCAGCUGAGAACCAGGUCUGGAAAGACAGGGGAACGGACACGUGUAACCACCCUUUCCAUAUGGCCAAUUAUUUACUCAUUUCUUCCACCUGUGUGAAGUUGAAGGCCCCUCUGCAAAGGGAAGCUGUUCUCUUCUGUCAGAGAGAAGAACAGAUGGUGAAUAGCAGACCUUAAGACUUUCAUACUGGUAGAUGAGAACAAGUUAUCAUGGUGGAAGUCAGCUCACUGCCAAUUGAGGCCAGACACUGACCAUUGUUUCCAAAGCUAGAUGAAGAAUGGAAACUUUCACUUGGGAACCAAGACCACUGACUAUAGUCAGGAAAGAACUUCAAUUGCUAUCCAUGUAUGCGCCUUGCAGAAACAAAGAUGCCUUCAUCUAAAAAUUAAAAAGAGAGGAAAAAUAGAUGAUAAAGUAAAAUCUUGGUUUAUGACUGGACUACGUUCUGCAGGAAUGUACAUUCUUGUUUUGAUUCUGAUACCUAUCACUGUAGAAGGUAUCUUUGUUCCACCUUGUAGUAUUUUGCCAAAACGGAGUAGUGUUCCUUAUAAGCACGGUGAUCUAAGGACACGAGCGAGGGGAUUUCCUGUGUGGUGUGCAGCCUUUAUUGUGCCAGACAUAUUGCCAACUCAUGCAACUUUAGUCCGAGCCUCGUGAUUGCUGGAAGUAUUCACAGAGACCAAACGCUGGACCAUAAAACUUAGAAAGAAUCUCAGCUUUCUUUUAAGAAAAAAAAAGAUCCUAGACCCCAUGCUUGUAGAAGAAAGAUUGCAAAAGCUGAAGACUACAAAUCCAAAAGGUAAAUGCAAAGACACAAAAUGAAUUACUUUAAAUAUAUUUCAUACGUUUAAAGCUAAUUGCAUCCUUUUGAGGCCUGAGCUGUGAUUUCUGAAUGUUUGGAGCUGGC
rnacentral:lncRNA from 1 species